AACGACUCUCGGCAACGGAUAUCUCGGCUCUCGCAUCGAUGAAGAACGUAGCGAAAUGCGAUACUUGGUGUGAAUUGCAGAAUCCCGUGAACCAUCGAGUCUUUGAACGCAAGUUGCGCCCGAAGCCAUCAGGACGAGGGCACGUCUGCCUGGGCGUCACACG
rnacentral:rRNA from 1 species